GCCCCUGUAGCUCAGAGGAUAGAGCAGUGGUUUCCUAAACCAUGUGUCGCAGGUUCGAGUCCUGCCAGGGGUA
rnacentral:tRNA from 1 species